rnacentral:miRNA from 1 species
GUUUCCUGCAAACACUUCACG